rnacentral:rRNA from 1 species
UACGUAGGGGGCGAGCGUUGUCCGGAUUUAUUGGGCGUAAAGAGCUUGUAGGCGGUCUGUCGCGUCUGCUGUGAAAAUCCGGGGCUCAACCCCGGACUUGCAGUGGGUACGGGCAGACUAGAGUGUGGUAGGGGAGACUGGAAUUCCUGGUGUAGCGGUGAAAUGCGCAGAUAUCAGGAGGAACACCGAUGGCGAGGGCAGGUCUCUGGGCCACUACUGACGCUGAGAAGCGAAAGCAUGGGGAGCGAACAGG